rnacentral:rRNA from 1 species
GAUGAACGCUGGCGGCGUGCCUAAUACAUGCAAGUCGAGCGAACAGAUGAGGAGCUUGCUCCUCUGACGUUAGCGGCGGACGGGUGAGUAACACGUGGAUAACCUACCUAUAGGACUGGGAUAACUUCGGGAAACCGGAGCUAAUACCGGAUAAUAUAUUGAACCGCAUGGUUCAAUAGUGAAAGACGGUUUUGCUGUCACUUAUAGAUGGAUCCGCGCCGCAUUAGCUAGUUGGUAAGGUAACGGCUUACCAAGGCAACGAUGCGUAGCCGACCUGAGAGGGUGAUCGGCCACACUGGAACUGAGACACGGUCCAGACUCCUACGGGAGGCAGCAGUAGGGAAUCUUCCGCAAUGGGCGAAAGCCUGACGGAGCAACGCCGCGUGAGUGAUGAAGGUCUUCGGAUCGUAAAACUCUGUUAUUGGGGAAGAACAAAUGUGUAAGUAACUAUGCACGUCUUGACGGUACCUAAUCAGAAAGCCACGGCUAACUACGUG